GCCGAAGACGGUGAAGGUGAGGAUGGCGAUAAUGCCGAUGAGGGCGGAGGUGACCGAGGGACCGAGGUAGAAGUAGAGGAGCCCGAGGGCCACUCCAACUUGGAGUGGCAUAAGCCAAAUGUAGUGGAUUUGUAGCAUCAUGUCGGAGAGUUGCUGCGCGUCAACCGCCAUGUAGUUGACGAUCAUUCCGACACCGUGCGACUGUCGGG
rnacentral:misc_RNA from 1 species